rnacentral:lncRNA from 10 species
UUUCACCUUGUUGCCCAAGCUGGUCUUGAAGUUCUGGGCUCAAGCGAUCUGCCUGCAUUAGCCUCCUAAAGUUCUGGGAUUACCAACAUGAGCUACCAUGCCUGGGUCAAAGCCAUUCUCUGAGCUGAAGAAAAACUACAAAAGAUAGAAACUCAGAUGUGCAGGAAAGAAUAUAGACACCAAAAAAGGAGUGCAAUUUUGACCAAUUACUUUUUACUGGAAGAACUUCAAGAAUAGCUAUGAAGCAUAUGAAGAGGUCUUAUUCCGAGUGAUCCUGAUGCUAGUCAAGGAAGGGAAUGACUGGUUAGAAUCAAUGCCCACACCUGAGAAUUGUGCUUGAGAUAGAUUCUCCUGAAGACACAGGGCUUCACAGGAAGGAGAGAUAAUUAUUGGAUGGAAAACAGAACUGAGAAGAGAAAUCACUUGUGUCCCAGCACCAUUUGUUGAAAAGGAUAUUCUUUCCCUGUUGAAAUAAUGUCUUGGCACCCAAACUGAAAAUGAAUUCACCUCAGAAUUCUAGCUUCAUUCUGUAUUGGUG